GAUGAACGCUAGCUACAGGCUUAACACAUGCAAGUCGAGGGGAAACGAUGAGAGAGCUUGCUCUCUUAGUCGUCGACCGGCGCACGGGUGAGUAACGCGUAUCCAACCUGCCUCUGACCAAGGGAUAACCCGUCGAAAGUCGGACUAAUACCUUAUGCAGUCGUCGGAAGUCAUCUGAUGACGACGAAAGAUUUCAUCGGUGAGAGAUGGGGAUGCGUCUGAUUAGCUUGUUGGCGGGGUAACGGCCCACCAAGGCGACGAUCAGUAGGGGUUCUGAGAGGAAGGGCCCCCACAGUGGAACUGAGACACGGUCCAAACUCCUACGGGAGGCAGCAGUGAGGAAUAGUGGUCAAUGGGCGUAAGCCUGAACCAGCCAAGUAGCGUGCAGGAUGACGGCCCUAUGGGUUGUAAACUGCUUUUAUGCGGGGAUAAAGUGAGGGACGUGUCCUUCAUUGCAGGUACCGCAUGAAUAAGGACCGGCUAAUUCCGUG
rnacentral:rRNA from 1 species